AUUGAACGCUGGCGGAAUGCUUUACACAUGCAAGUCGAGCGGCAGCACGGGGGCAACCCUGGUGGCGAGCGGCGAACGGGUGAGUAAUACAUCGGAACAUGCCCAGUCGUGGGGGAUAACACUUCGAAAGAAGUGCUAAUACCGCAUACGUCCUGAGGGGGAAAGCGGGGGAUCGCAAGACCUCGCGCGAUUGGAGUGGCCGAUGUCAGAUUAGCUAGUUGGUGGGGUAAAGGCCUACCAAGGCAACGAUCUGUAGCUGGUCUGAGAGGAUGAUCAGCCACACUGGGACUGAGACACGGCCCAGACUCCUACGGGAGGCAGCAGUGGGGAAUUUUGGACAAUGGGGGCAACCCUGAUCCAGCCAUUCCGCGUGAGUGCAGAAGGCCUUCGGGUUGUAAAGCUCUUUCGGCAGGAACGAAACGGUGAGCUCUAACAUAGCUUGCUAAUGACGGUACCUGAAGAAGAAGCACCGGCUAACUACGUG
rnacentral:rRNA from 1 species